rnacentral:rRNA from 1 species
AGUGAACGCUGGCGGCGUGCCUAAUACAUGCAAGUCGAACGCGAAAGUCCUUCGGGAUGAGUAAAGUGGCGCACGGGUGAGUAAUACAUGGGAACAUGCCCUUGGAUGGGGAAUAACGUUUGGAAACGAACGCUAAUACCGCAUAAUCUCGCGAGAGUAAAGGUGGCGCCGCAAGGGCUACCGUCCAAGGAUUGGCCCAUGUCCCAUUAGCUAGUUGGCGGGGUAAGGGCCCACCAAGGCAACGAUGGGUAUGUGGUCUGAGAGGAUGAUCACACACACUGGAACUGAGCCACGGUCCAGACUCCUACGGGAGGCAGCAGUAGGGAAUAUUGCACAAUGGGGGAAACCCUGAUGCAGCAACGCCGCGUGAGUGAAGAAGGCCCUUGGGUUGUAAAGCUCUUUAGCGUGGGAAGAAGGUAGAUACGGUGAAUAAUCGUGUUUGCUGACGGUACCACGAGAAUAAGCACCGGCUAAUUUCGUGCCAGCAGCCGCGGUAA